GAUGAACGCUGGCGGCGUGCUUAACACAUGCAAGUCGAACGGAGCUUAUUUGGAAAGCUUGCUUUUCGUUUAAGCUUAGUGGCGGACGGGUGAGUAACGCGUGAGCAACCUGCCCCGAAGUGGGGAAUAACACCGAGAAAUCGGUGCUAAUACCGCAUAAUGUCGGAGGACCGCAUGAUCUUCCGACCAAAGGAUUUAUUCGCUUUGGGAUGGGCUCGCGUCCGAUUAGGCAGUUGGCGGGGUAACGGCCCACCAAACCGACGAUCAGUAGGGGUUCUGAGAGGAAGGUCCCCCACAUUGGUACUGAGACACGGACCAAACUCC
rnacentral:rRNA from 1 species